rnacentral:rRNA from 1 species
ACCUACGGGGGGCAGCAGUAGGGAAUUUUCGUCAAUGGGCGCAAGCCUGAACGAGCAAUGCCGCGUGAACGAGGAAGGUCUUCGGAUCGUAAAGUUCUGUUGAAGGGGAAAAAGAGCGGAGAGAGGAAAUGGUCUCCGAUUGAUAUUUCCCUUCGGGGAAGUCACGGCUAACUACGUGCCAGCAGCCGCGGUAAUACGUAGGUGGCGAGCGUUAUCCGGAAUGAUUGGGCGUAAAGGGUGCGUAGGCGGCCUGCUAAGUCUGGAGUGAAAGGUACCGGCUCAACCGGUACAGGCUCUGGAAACUG